GCAUGCUUUACUGCAGUCGAGCGGAGUUUACCUUCUGGUCUAGCUUAGCGGCGGACGGGUGAUUAACACGUAAGUAACCUGCCUGUAAGACUGGGAUAACUACCGGAAACGGUAGCUAAGACCGGAUAGCUGGUUUCCUCGCAUGAGGAGAUCAUGAAACACGGAGCAAUCUGUGGCUUACGGAUGGGCCUGCGGCGCAUUAGCUAGUUGGUGGGGUAACGGCUCACCAAGGCGACGAUGCGUAGCCGACCUGAGAGGGUGAACGGCCACACUGGGACUGAGACACGGCCCAGACUCCUACGGGAGGCAGCAGUAGGGAAUCUUCCGCAAUGGGCGCAAGCCUGACGGAGCAACGCCGCGUGAGUGAUGAAGGUUUUCGGAUCGUAAAGCUCUGUUGCCAAGGAAGAAAUGUAAGGAGAGUAACUGCUCUUUACUUGACGGUACUUGAGAAGAAAGCCCCGGCUAACUACGUGCCAGCAGCCGCGGUAAUACGUAAGGGGCAAGCGUUGUCCGGAAUUAUUGGGCGUAAAGCGCGCGCAAGCGGUUUUUUAAAUCUGGGGUUUAAUUGCAAGGCUCAACCCUGUAUCGCCUUGGAAACUGGGAGACUGGAGUGUANGAGAGGAAAGUGGAUUCCACGUGUAGCGGUGAAAUGCGUAAAGAUGUGGAGGAACACCAGUGGCGAAAGCGACUUUCUGGCCUAUUACUGACGCUGAAGCGCUAAAGCGUGGGGAGCAACCGGGAUAGAUACCCUGUUAGUCCACGCCGUAACGAUGAAUGCUUAGUGUUAGGGGGUUCAAUACCCCUGGUUGCCAAAGUNAACCCAGUAAGCCCUCCGCCCCGGGGAAGUAGCUCCCCAAAAAUGAAACUCCAAGGAUUUGACGGGGAACCGCCCAACCCGGGGAAUUUGUGGGUUAAUUUCCAAACAACCGAAAAACCCUUUCAGGUCCUGCACUCCC
rnacentral:rRNA from 1 species